UACGAACUGUGCACACGUUGUCCGGAUUUACUGGGCGUAAAGAGCGCGCAGGCGGUCGAUCAAGUCGAGUGUGAAAGCCCCCGGCUCAACUGGGGAGGGUCAUUCGAUACUGAUCGACUCGAAGGCAGGAGAGGGUAGUGGAAUUCCCGGUGUAGUGGUGAAAUGCGUAGAUAUCGGGAGGAACACCAGUGGCGAAGGCGACUACCUGGCCUGUUCUUGACGCUGAGGCGCGAAAGCUAGGGGAGCAAACGGG
rnacentral:rRNA from 1 species